CUGCCAAGGUGACAGAGAGUGGAGGGAGCAGAAGUCUCUGAGAAGCACCUUGUUCUUCAGAGACUGUGUAUCCCAGCCCCUCCCCAGCCCCCAUCCCCUCAGGAUCCCAGAGACAGGAAAUACGUGAUUCUGGAGCACAUACAUCCAGUGUGGCCUCUGGAAGGAUAUGGAAGAGACAGAUCAAGGCCAAGAACACAGUGGUGGAGGGGGCUGAAGGACGGGACCCAACUUGGUGAGAAUCCUGGGCCUGUCAGGGAGGCGGCAUGUGAGGUGAAGGAGAGCUCCCUCCCCGGAUCCGAGAGAGGAGCAGCUUCUGGAAGAGGGCUGGCAGCCCUUGAGUGCUCCUUAGGAUCAAACCUGGGACACAGAGGGAAAAGCCAGGCCCCCUGAGUGCCAGAGCUGGCACUGGUCACUGGCACUGUCAUCUUCCUGAGACCUCUACCUUCUCUGGCUCUGGGGAAACUCUAUUUGCCAAGGCUGCAAAGCCCUCCUUUCCUCCUUCCACUGCCCCCUGGCAAGUUCAGCACCCUCAGGAGCAGCGAAGUGUUGCUCCUGGUUGUACCUCUACCAGUGGGAUAGCCAUGCCCUGGAGAUGAGUGUGAUAAUGGCUAGCACUUACUUACCACUUGUUUCAUUCUAAGCCAAGUGCUUUCCCUGCCAACCCCAUGUAUGCCUCACAGUGCCCUGAGAGUUGCAGGUCAUAAGAGCUUUCAUCUUACAGAUCUGGAGACUGAGGUCUAGAAAGGUUGGGAGACCUGCCAUGGCCAGUAAGUGGUAGAGCCAGGCUGGGGACUAGGGUGUCUUCAUCUCCCACAAUGUUCCUCAGUAGGAUAAGUGGCCAGCCCCACCCCAAUAUUUAUCUCCCCAUGCCUGUCUCAGAGGGACUGGGCCAGGCUGAGAGGGCCGCUGGUACUCUCUCAGUGAGCUUCUGGGGCUUUAAGGGCCCAUUUGGUCUGUUCCUUGGAGGGACAGACUCAACAGAGACAUGAUUCAUUCAUCCUUUCGUCCAUGUGACAAAUAUUUAAUGAGUUCCCAGUGUGCCACGCACAGUCUAUGCCGCUGCCAGGCAUAAGUGACUAAACAGGAAAAGGUCUGCUUUUGUAGAGAGUGUGCUCUAGAAGGGAGAGCAGGCACUAAAUUCUAUAGUGUACUAGGGGGUAAUAAGGCUGUGCACACAACUGUGAAGCUGGGUCAGAUUCUAGGAUGCUGGGGAGCAGGGGGCAAGGAGAUUCUCAAAAGUGAGAACUGAGCAGAGACAUGAUGGAGGAGAGGAGGGAGCCAAAAGCUAUCUGGAGAGUCCCAUGUGCUGGCACAAGGCUGCAGUGCCAGCGGCAAGCCUGGAGAGCUCCGAGAACUGUGGGAGCUCUUUCCUCCCUUUCCUGCUUCCUGACCACCAUCCAGCGAACACUAUGCUGUUUCUGCCUUGGAGCCAACCAACCAUGGACUGAAACUGGAGGCCAAAAUUGACCUUCCCUCCUUCAAGUUGUGGGUGUCAGGUAUUUUGCCUCAGUGACAGGUUCUUCCCCUCUCCUCCGCUGGGUAGUAUGUGCAGACCAAGGCUACAACUUUCAAGAUCCAGAUCAAAUAAACCAAGCAUGUGAAGCUGGACCUGAAUUCUUCAAGGAGAACUGGUCACCCUGGGCUCCCCAAACCCUGCACAUCUCAUUUCCGCUCUCAUCCAAUAGUUUUGUUGUGUGUUUACAUGCCCAUGUGUUUCUUGAGGGCCGAGGCCAUGUUGAUUCAUAUCUGUAUCCCUCCUGCCAAAACCCUGUGCUCAGUAAAUGUUUGAUGAAUGACUGAAGGAAAGAAUGUUCAUCAUCAGAAAAUUGUUCAUCAGAGCCUGCACAUCAGCAUUGCCAAGAGAUGUUUUCAUCAAAUGCAGCUCCUUGGUGUCAGUGUGUAACACUGCCCUGGUUCAGCCUGAAGCAUUGGCAAUUUGGAAGAGCUUGCAGGGGUUAGACGAAAGGCAUUUUAUUUGUUAAACAGAAAAUCAAAGUAGGAGAUGGAACACUAAGAUAUGCAAAUACAUAUCUUUUUUUUUUUCCCUAGAAGAACCUAGCAGAAUCACAAUAGAUUAUUUUGAAAUUAAUUCAGGCUGAUUGUUUGUAGAGCUUAAAUUCGGAGAUCAAAUUAUGCAUAACGUGAAAGGAGGUUUGAAAUGUACCCAGUGAAAGCCUCUUCCAGCCCAGCAGCAGAAUACUCCAGUUGAUACGAUGCCCAUGUUUUUUGGAGAGACUAACACAAGGAAAUUAGCCCAAGCACAAGACUUUAAUCAUUUAAGAAGUUCCAGGCUUCCUCUAUCCCUAUCAGCAGUAACUCCUCAUCAGUAAGAGCUUAAGGUUGGAUUCCAGGCUGCUUGAUCAAUAUUGACCAUUUUGCAUUAAACAAAAAUUGCACAUAUGUUAAUUAUUAAAUAUCAAAUGCGAGUCGCUGCCCAGGGUUUAUGAAUUAGGAAUUUAAAAAUGUUAUUUCCAAAUAUUUCCCUUUGGUAGAGGGAUCAAAGAUGUGGUUGCCAAGGCG